rnacentral:rRNA from 1 species
UGUUUUAAUAAGUCUGUUGUUAAAGACUAGGGUUAACCCUAGAAAAGCAAUGGAAAACUACUAGACUAGAGUAUGGCAGGGGUAGANGGGAAUUUCUAGUGUAGCGGUGAAAUGCGUAGAUAUUAGAAAGAACACCGGUGGCGAAAGCGCUCUACUGGACCAUUACUGACACUCAGAGGCGAAAGCUAGGGUAGCAAAAGAGAUUAGAUACCCCUGUAGUCCUAGCCGUAAACGAUGGAUACUACAUGUUGUGCAUUAUGUACAGUAUGGUAGCUAACGCGUUAAGUAUCCCGCCUGGGGAGUACGCUCGCAAGGGUGAAACUCAAAGGAAUUGACGGGGGCCCGCACAAGCGGUGGAGCAUGUGGUUUAAUUCGAUGCAACGCGAAGAACCUUACCAGGACUUGACAUACUACAAAUUCUUUUGAGAAAAAGAAGUGCCUUCGGGAAUGUAGAUACAGGUGGUGCAUGGCUGUCGUCAGCUCGUGUCGUGAGAUGUUGGGUUAAGUCCCGCAACGAGCGCAACCCUUAUUUUUAGUUACCAAUUCGUUGGGUUCUCUAGAAAGACUGCCGGUGACAAACCGGAGGAAGGUGAGGAUGACGUCAAGUCAGCAUGCCCCUUAUGUCCUGGGCUACACACGUGCUACAAUGGUUAAGACAAAGAGUCGCGAGCUCGUGAGAGUCAGCUAAUCUCAUAAACUUAGCCCAAGUUCAGAUUGUAGGCUGCAACUCGCCUACAUGAAGUUGGAAUCGCUAGUAAUCGCUGGUCAGCCAUACAGCGGUGAAUCCGUUCCCGGGCCUUGUACACACCGCCCGUCACACCAUGGGAGCUGGUCAUACCCGAAACCGUUUGCUUAACCGUUUGGAGAGCGACGUCUAAGGUAGGGCUAGUGACUGGGGUGAAGUCGUAACAAGGUAA